rnacentral:rRNA from 1 species
UAUUGCGAUCAUACCAGCAUUAAUGCACCGGAUCCCAUUAGAACUUCGAAGUUAAACGUGCUUGGGCGAGAGUAGUACUAAGAUGGGUGACCUCUUGGGAAGUUGAUGAGCGUAGUUU